rnacentral:misc_RNA from 1 species
GACGAACUGUGCGAACGUUAUUCGGAAUCACUGGGCUUACAGGGUGCGUAGGCGGCCAGGUAAGUAGGGUGUGAAAUCCCCCGGCCCAACCGGGGAACUGCGCUCUAAACUACUUGGCUUGAGUGAGCUAGGGGUCCACGGAACUUCCAGUGGAGCGGUGAAAUGUGUUGAUAUUGGAAGGAACACCGGAGCCGAAAGGGGUGGACUGGGGCUCAACUGACGCUGAGGCACGAAAGCCAGGGUAGCGAACGGG